AAGAAUCUAUUAUAAUUAUAGGAUCUCUAACCCGCCUUGUUCGAACUUCAACUUGCCUAUUAAAUUGACCUUAUCCUAACUACAUCAGAUUGCUUCAAACAUGUCAGACCUACUGAUUUUAUGAAAUUACUGACCAACUAUAUUUGCUUAAUACUUACGGAUCUUUGUUACUAACAAGAUUCAAAUUCACAAACUUCAAAUUACUUCUAUUCCAAUAUUUUCGAGGUCAAAGCUAGUUUUUUACUAACCAACCAAAUUAAAUUGAUUUCCCAUAUUAACUAUUUACCAAUUUCAGUUGAAUGAAAUUUCGUACUACAUUAUAUGAACUAGCAAAGCAAAAAACUAAUAACUGUGAGAUUCCUACAGACAUGCAUUCUAUAGUUCAAAAAUCUACACAAUUGCUUAGAUUAGACAUACGUACUGUAUUGACUAAUGCUUACACCGUUUCAAGAAUCUAAGUUCCAUAAUCUAUCAUUUCGCAUCAUUAUUAUUGUUGAUUAGUGGUCUUAUAAAAGAACAUCCCUAAUAAUUAAUACAUAUACCAUUCGUGUAACAAAAAACGCAUAACAAAAAUUAACUAAAUACAGGUUCUUAUUAGUUGAACCAUAGAUCCCUUGGCCAUUUCACUUUAACUUCAAUGAACACACAUCGAAAAGAUUCGGAGUAGUGUACCUGGAUAAUGAAGAUACAGGAAGAAGAAAGAGCAGUCAGCAACCGUAACACAACAAAUCACAUCAGUAUGAACAACCAACAAAUUCCAACAGCAACAACCAAUCACGUUCAAUACCCGGAAUAGUUCGAAAACAAAACAGAACUGAUAAAACAGCCUCAAAAGAAUACCAAAACUCAAGGGUGAACUAGGGACUGAAGUAUAAGCAACCAACUGAUUAACCAACUGACUCAAACCCACAGACUCGAAGUAAUCAGGCCAAGAGAUUGAAUUUGAGCUCGAAACUGGAAAGAUAAUGAGGAGGAUCGAUAGAACAAUAAUCACUCUUUCUCAAUGUUUUAAAACUUCCUCAAGAUUGUCUAGGAACUCUCUCAAAAACUCCCUUUUAAACUCUCAAAUUUUUUUCUUAACAUAUUUUUUCUCCUAAACUCUGAAAUUCUCCUUUUUCUUUUAAGUGUCAAAAUGACCCUUAUUUAUCUCAAAACAAGACCUUCUUUCCCUCUCUCUAAUUAUUAUUUCUACCCUCUUUUUAUUAUUACCCUUCCAAUUACCCUCCCUUUUUCUUAAUUUUCAGCCCCCCCCCCCCCCCCCCCCUUCCUCAGAUUGUCUAGGAACUCUCUCAAAACUCCCUUUUAAACUCUCAAAAUUUGUUUCUUAACAGAGUUUUUCUCCUAAACUCUGAAAUUAUCCUUUUUCUUUUAAGUGUCAAAAUGACCCUUAUUUAUGUCAAAACAAGACUUUCUUUCACUCUCUCUAAUUAUUAUUACUAUCCUCUACUUAUUAUUACCCUUCCAAUUACCCUCCCCUUUCUUUAAUUUUCAGCCCCCCAAAUAUCCUCUUCUAUGUCUCUUUUUUAAACUUUUAUCAUUACUUAUACAAUUUCUAAUUCCAAUUAAGCAAACACUCUCAUUACUUAGUGGUCUCCUACUACCAAUUAAUUCAAAUUAAAGUUGUUGGAUCCUACAGGUUAGACUAUUCAGUCAAACCAGAUUUUCUUAUUCUUUUUAUUCCUAAAACACCACUGAAAUCCCCUAAGUAUUACUGCAUUAUCUUAAGCAAACCUGAAGUUAACUCUAUGUAAGUUGAAACUAAUUUCUGUUUAAACACCUAAAUCACUACAGCUAUAUCCAAUCUUCCUAUCAACUGACUGAUUGGGAUUAAUCAAAAGAAACUGAAUGUACAUCAGGCUUAUUGCAACACCAAACUUAACAAAUUUAUUAAACUAAAACUGAAACUGAAACUAAAUUAAAAUCACAAAGAUAUUGAGAUUAAACUUAAUGCAAUUCUAAGUCGAAUUCUAUACAGACCACAAGAUUAUUGUCAUUAUUGAUAAUGCUAUGAGGUUAAUUGCCUUGGAACUAAUAUAUACAACAUUCAAUCCCAAAUUAUUUGACGACAUUUAUGCAGUCGAUUAUACAAACUAUAACCUGUAUUAAUUAACAACAAAACAGAAACAGAAAUAAACAAAAAGAGGUGACCUGACAGAAAACCAUGAAUUUACGGAAACUAAUUAAUCGUCGAAUCUAUUUAGACAUAUGCAAUUGACAAGAAACAAUUCGACCAAAUAAAAGGUCACUGAAGAUGAGAAGAAUUUAAUGGAAAGAAAUAAAAAUCAAAUAAACCACACUAAAACUAACAAACAGAUGCUAGUACACAGAAGAAGAAAAAGAAAGGUAAUUGUUACCUUAUGGACUCGAACUCAGACAAACCCAGGCUCAACUCAUACUUGACCAUUUCUUGAGGUCGGACAGACUUUAAUUGAAGUGUUCUCAAUUGAGAACACCUCGAUUAAGGUCUAUUAGACUCCAAUCUCUAUUUUAAUCGGACCGAUUCCAUGGUUUGGGUUUUUUUAGGGUUCUUGAGGGUCUGAUUUGGGGUUUAGGUGUUUCUGGGCAGAUUCGACCCAAACCAAAGAUGGUUUGGGCAUGAGGGAGGUCAGGAGGUGCUAGGGUAUGAAUCUGGGGUUGGUUGUAAUAGUUUUCCGUUUAGCUCGAAUCUUCAAAUGAAGAUUCGAGAAGCUCUGAGAUGAUUCAAGGGAUGCGGUUAAUGGAUUCGUGUAGGGGAUAGUCUGGGGGUUCAAGGGUGUUAAUUUGGGGGUCAUCAGAGACGGGGCUGGCAUGUUUAUGGCGAAGGGGUAGGGUGGAGGCUAGGGUAAACCCUAAUUCGUCUCUGAAGACGAAGAACAUUGAAAGAGAGGGGUGGUUUGGUUU
rnacentral:lncRNA from 1 species